rnacentral:lncRNA from 1 species
CUAAAUGGAAUUAGAUGCCUGUAUGUAUCUAUAGAACUCGCAGCAUCCUAGACCUCUUCUUUAAACUGAAGAGUUGCCAUCUACUGGCCAGUUCUGGCUAUGUAAAUCUCAGCUGCUUGUUGUAGGAUAGGAGAUCGCAACGGUUCCGUCUUAUGAUAUUAUGGGCAAAUGUAUUUGUUAUGCCUCCGAGUUGGAAAAGAAAGCAAAUUGCUUUGUGAGGUAUUAACUUCCUAUUAUUUUAAGCAUGUUGUGCUUCUU